AGCGAACGCUGGCGGCAUGCUUAACACAUGCAAGUCGCACGGGUGGGGCUUUUGGGUCCUGCGAGUGGCGGACGGGUGAGUAACGCGUAGGUAUUUAUCCUUAGGGUGGGGGAGUAACCGUAGGGAACGUGCGGCUAAUACCGCAUGAAGAUUGCGAUCCAAAGGCGUGGGGGCGGACCUUGGCUGCCUGAGGAGGAGCCUGCGUCCGAUUAGCUAGUUGGUGGGGUAAGAGCCACCAAGGCAACGAUCGGUAGCUGGUCUGAGAGGAUGAUCAGCCACACUGGGACUGAGACACGGGCCCAGACUCCUACGGGAGGCAGCAGGUGGGGAAUAUUGGACAAUGGGCGCAAGCCUGAUCCAG
rnacentral:rRNA from 1 species